AUGUGCAGUCUUUUGAGAAGCCUUACUCCGGCCCUGCAAGCUCUUGUAAGCACUAAUACUCACUGUACCCCCUCUUUUCUCCCAAGCAGGCUAACACUGAGGAUUGGAAAUUUAUGGCCAACAACUGUUUCUCAAAACAAUGGAAGCUAUUGUUCUCACGGAACUAACCCCAGAGUGAUUCCCACAGCAAAUGAUCUGUGCUGGGAAGGUCCAAAGGUCAGCGGUGGAAGCCAGAAAGUCUAUGCCAGCAGGGUUAAGGAGCUGUGCUGGUAUGUUGAGGGUUCUAUGCUGAAGCCGAGAAGUCACACUCAAAACAAAGACCAGGGCUGUCCUGAAAAGCACCACAGCCAUCCUCAGCAACACGGAAGCCCCGAGCUCCUCCAACGACAAGGACAAGCAUAGUCGAGUGCCUGCCAGGGAGCCAGCGUGAAGAGUUCAUCCUGGAGACCAAGCACACAUCUUCCCUGUCAGAGCCAGGAAGCAAUGCAAGAUGUGAGGGUCAGAGCUUCUCCAGGAGAACCAAUGGCUCAAACAGCCACACAUAGGAGAACUCACAAUGCCUCAACGCCUCAGCGCCUCGACUCAGUGACGUAUUAAUGCCUGCCUUCUUCUCCACCUCUCUAUUUUUGCUGGCAACUUUCCUCAGGUGGAGCAUCUAUGCUCAGUGCCAUGCUGAUGUAAUCCAGCUGGCAUUAAAUUGAUCACCAGCUCUUAAUCCGUAACACUCCUCUUUCCUUCUCUUCCCCCGCCUCACUUUCUUGCUUUCUUGUUUCUUUCCAAAAUGUUAUUUUCCCAAUUAUAGUCUAUCUCAUUCAUGAAAUUUCAAGGUGGGAAGAACUUGAAGGUUCUAGACCAAUCACUCACCCUUCCAAAAAUCUUCAUAAAUGGCCAUACAGGGUCUGCUAGGAUAUUUUAGCAAUAAAAAUUACUUUAUCAAGCAACUCAUAUAUUACUUUUGAGAAAAUUCUUCAUUGCUUUGUGCCAGGAUCUGUCUAUGUCUCUGAGAUUCUAUGUAUCUGAAAUUCUGUUUAUCUAUUUCUAUCUAUCUCUGUAUCAUCUAUCUAAAUUCUUUCUUCUUUACUUUUUAAGAAAAAAAUAUUAAAGGUCACCUCUUGAAUUGUUCAACUGUUAUUUUCUAACAACAGGGGUUCUCCUCACCAAAUCCCUGUUCUUGCUAAACAAUUCCUUUUUUUUCCUGUUAUUCUUCAUCUAUUACUAUUAAUUUUAUAACUUUCUUUUCCUUUGAGCAUAUUCCAAUACCUCAAGAGUCGCACUCAAGCGUGGAACACUUGGUUUGGGAUUCGAGUAGUACAAAACAAAAUAUUAAUACCACACCAACUUAUUUAUAUAACUGUCUAGAAUGACUUUUUGGCUGUUUCAUCUCAUUUCUCAUUCAAAUUAAUGCCACUACAAAUAAAAACCUCUAAGCCUUCUCUGUUUUGGUUCGGUCACUUUGUUAAUAUGACAUAAUCCAUGACUUGAUCUUAAGAGGGUGACUGACUACAUUAUUCCUAUUAAAUUCAUCAUCAUUUGAGUUAUUUUUGACACUAUUUUCAGUGCAUUAUUUUACUGUUAGUGUUUUGUUUAACCUUUGUUUAAACCUUUGUCCAUAUUAACUGACAAAAUGUUGAAUAUGGCAGAAUUGAGAUCAGGGUUAUAAAACAUCCCUAUUAAUCGCCAUAAAUGCUUCUAUAUGUUUGAUUUUAAAUUUAUAGCUCUAUGUUGUGUCUGUUUCCAAACUUCAGAUAAAUAUAAUAAAUAUAUCCUGCUGACAUAUUUAAUGUGCUGAUUUUCAUGUGCCCAAACCCUAGAUUUCUAUUUCAAAGUCAAACUCUCUGGUCAUUCUCAUCACACAGUGAAUUAAAUUCAAAACUCAGAAGUCAUUUUUACUUUUUAUUUCCUUUCCUUGAUCUAAGUUUAAGUCUUCCUGGAAUAACCCCCAUGGACUACAUGUUUGACUCUAUUUCCACUCUUUUCUCACACAUAUUUUUUCAACAACAAUCCAAGGAUCUUUCAAGAAUGUACAAUUCAACACAUAUUCUUCUUAAGGUGUAGUAUAUAUACAUAGAUAAUAGGAUACAUGUAAUGUAUAUACAUAGAAAAAUAACCAGUGAGUUAUCACAAGGAAAACUUAUCUUUGAACAACAAAUAGAACAUUACUAUGCCUGAGAAGCCUCUUUUAUACCUAUUCUUUAUCACCACCCACAUUUUCUUCCCAAAAGUAGCUACAGUUUUUAUCCAGAACUUUCCUCACAAUAUAUUAAAUGUGCCUGUUUUAAAUUUUGCAUAAAGGGAGUCACACUAUUGUCUGUGUAGUAUACCUCAUUAAAUAUGACUGUGACAUCCACGUUG
ensembl:lincRNA